ACAUUCAUAGUGUAACGGUGAGCGCACUCGGCGCGUAUUCGAGAGGUCAGGGUUCGAGUCCCUGAGAGGGCA
rnacentral:tRNA from 1 species